GUAGAAAUAACGCAGUGCCAGAUCGCCGCCGUGUAUAUACGUUACGUACUAGCGAGCGCGCACGAAAAUACCACCCGAGUAGAGUAGGUUAUCACAACCCUUUAGAAAGACACAAAGAAAACAAAAACGACAGAUUUGCAUUAAGAAAGGGAAAUUUAUGCCGGACUUGGCCGGACACGAAAGCCGAUCCUCGCCCGCUAGGUUUACGUUGACCAGUGCACUACGUGCACGGGGAAUUCCCGGUUUGUACCACACGGGGUCUCCUUGUUUGUAUCGCACGGGCCACGCUCAAACUUUUCUGGAAUUGACCAAUCAGAGCUCGUUAAAACCAUUUGCUCUCUUCACGCGUCCUUUCCACAAGCAGGACGCUCAUUUACAUGCUCAUUUAGCCAAUGACUGGUGAGAGCAGUCAGCGUCAGGAUUCAGUCGACCACAGGACCCCAGUUGCCCAGGCCGGCGGGCGUGGAGAUACGUAGCCCCUUUGCCUUCUCUCAACCAGGGAUACAGACAUAAAAAGUUGCAAUACCAUGUGCCUUAGCUAGUGCGCAAGCUCUAGCCGGCAGUUGCCGUGCUAUAGCCGGGACAAUCACAUAUGCCAGAAGCCGUGGUCACAGCUGACUCAAGCCUCCCGGUCACAGAGCUGAUCAUGACAACUGACUCCAGUCUCCUUUGUGUAAAAUUUUGUUUCGAUAUUGUUGAUGA